GACGAACGCUGGCGGCGUGCCUAAUACAUGCAAGUAGAACGCUGAAGGAGGAGCUUGCUUCUCUGGAUGAGUUGCGAACGGGUGAGUAACGCGUAGGUAACCUGCCUGGUAGCGGGGGAUAACUAUUGGAAACGAUAGCUAAUACCGCAUAAUAGUAGAUGUUGCAUGACAUUUGCUUAAAAGGUGCAAUUGCAUCACUACCAGAUGGACCUGCGUUGUAUUAGCUAGUUGGUGGGGUAACGGCUCACCAAGGCGACGAUACAUAGCCGACCUGAGAGGGUGCACGGCCACAGUGGGACGGGGACCGGGCCCAGCCCCAUACGGGAGGCAGCAGUAGGGAAUCUUGGGAAAUGGCCGAAAGCCGGACCGAGCACCGCGGCGUGAGUGAAGAGGGUUUUCGUAUCGUAAAGCUCUGUUGAAAGAGAAGAAGGGGGGUGGGAGUGAAAAGUCCACCCUGUGAGGGUAUCUAACAAGAAGGGGGGGGCAAACUCCGUG
rnacentral:rRNA from 1 species